rnacentral:rRNA from 1 species
GAAGUUAGCGGCGGACGGGUGAGUAACACGUGGGUAACCUGCCCAUAAGACUGGGAUAACUCCGGGAAACCGGGGCUAAUACCGGAUAACAUUUUGAACUGCAUGGUUCGAAAUUGAAAGGCGGCUUCGGCUGUCACUUAUGGAUGGACCCGCGUCGCAUUAGCUAGUUGGUGAGGUAACGGCUCACCAAGGCAACGAUGCGUAGCCGACCUGAGAGGGUGAUCGGCCACACUGGGACUGAGACACGGCCCAGACUCCUACGGGAGGCAGCAGUAGGGAAUCUUCCGCAAUGGACGAAAGUCUGACGGAGCAACGCCGCGUGAGUGAUGAAGGCUUUCGGGUCGUAAAACUCUGUUGUUAGGGAAGAACAAGUGCUAGUUGAAUAAGCUGGCACCUUGACGGUACCUAACCAGAAAGCCACGGCUAACUACGUGCCAGCAGCCGCGGUAAUACGUAGGUGGCAAGCGUUAUCCGGAAUUAUUGGGCGUAAAGCGCGCGCAGGUGGUUUCUUAAGUCUGAUGUGAAAGCCCACGGCUCAACCGUGGAGGGUCAUUGGAAACUGGGAGACUUGAGUGCAGAAGAGGAAAGUGGAAUUCCAUGUGUAGCGGUGAAAUGCGUAGAGAUAUGGAGGAACACCAGUGGCGAAGGCGACUUUCUGGUCUGUAACUGACACUGAGGCGCGAAAGCGUGGGGAGCAACAGGAUUAGAUACCUGGUAGUCACGCCGUAAACGAUGAGUGCUAAGUGUAGAGGUUUCGCCCUUUAGUGCUGAAGUAACGCAUAAGCACUCCGCCUGGGGAGUACGCCGCAAGCUGAACUCAAAGAAUUGACGGGGCCCGCACAAGCGGUGGAGCAUGUGGUUUAAUCGAAGCACGCGAAGACCUUACAGGUCUUGACAUCCUCUGAAACCCUAGAGAUA